rnacentral:piRNA from 1 species
UGGAUACAUGUGCACCACGUGCAUG